UCUAGCCCAACCAGUGAGGGGGUGCAGGGCUGAGGUCACCGUUGCCGUGGAGACAAAACAGGAAGACACAGCAGCUGGCGGCGCGGGGGCUCCCAGGGGCUAUCCUCCCUGACAUAGCUCUAGAAAGAAAUCUCCAGGGAACUCACCAAGCAAGUCCUGGAGUAUCUAGAGAAGAGUUGACAAAGAGACACCAAGCAACCAUCUGGUCUACCACGUGACAUAAUAAAAUUCCCUCUAGUAGAGGUGAUUAUGGGAGAGUUCAUGAGAUCUAAACUACAAGAAGAACCGACCAAGAGAUACCAAGCAGCCAUCUGGUCUACCACAUGACAUAAUAAAAUUCCUUCUAGUAGUGGUGAUGAUGGGAGAGUGCAUGAGAUAUAAACUAUGAGGUGAUUUUCAUUCUCACAACUUCUAACACCUAUAGAAGUUUUAUUUUCUCAACUAUCAAUCAAGUCUUCUCUAUCUUACAAUUCAAUUAAAAGAUUAUUUUUAUUUCAA